GAUGAACGCCGGCGGUGUGCCAAUACAUGCAAGUCGAACGCAGUGGCGGACGGGUGAGUAACACGUAGGUAACCUGCCCAGAAGCGGGGGACAACAUUUGGAAACAGAUGCUAAUACCGCAUACUUCUGGAUGGACCUGCGGUGCAUUAGCUUGUUGGUGGGGUAACGGCCUACCAAGGCGAUGAUGCAUAGCCGAGUUGAGAGACUGAUCGGCCACAAUGGGACUGAGACACGGCCCAUACUCUACGGGAGGCAGCAGUAGGGAAUCUUCCACAAUGGGCGCAAGCCUGAUGGAGCAACACCGCGUGAGUGAAGAAGGGUUUCGGCUCGUAAAGCUCUGUUGUUAAAGAAGCGGUAUUUAACCAGAAAGUCACGGCUAACUACGUGCCAGCAGCCGCGGUAAUACGUAGGUGGCAAGCGUUAUCCGGAUUUAUUGGGCGUAAAGAGAGUGCAGGCGGUUUUCUAAGUCUGAUGUGAAAGCCUUCGGCUUAACCGGAGAAGUGCAUCGGAAACUGGAUAACUUGAGUGCAGAAGAGGGUAGUGGAACUCCGUGUGUAGCGGUGGAAUGCGUAGAUAUAUGGAAGAACACCAGUGGCGAAGGCGGCUACCUGGUCUGCAACUGACGCUGAGACUCGAAAGCAUGGGUAGCGAACAGGAUUAGAUACCCUGGUAGUCCAUGCCGUAAACGAUGAGUGCUAGGUGUCGGACAGUGCCGGAGCUAACGCAUUAAGCACUCCGCCUGGGGAGUACGACCGCAAGGUUGCAACUCAAAUGAAUU
rnacentral:rRNA from 1 species